GACGAACGCUGGCGGCGUGCUUAACACAUGCAAGUCGAACGGAAAGGCCUGCUUUCCCUUGUGGAUUGCGGGUACUCGAGUGGCGAACGGGUGAGUAACACGUGAGUGAUCUGCCCCCAACUUGGGUAUAAGCCUGGGAAACUGGGUCUAAUUCCCGAUAGGACUGCAGGGUGUUGCCGGUGGUGGAAAACGAUUUUCUAGUGGUUGGGGAUGAGCUCGCGGCCUAUCAGCUUGUUGGUGGGGUAAUGGCCUACAAAGGCGGGGACGGGUAGCCGGCCGGGGAGGGUGGACGGCCACAUUGGGACUGAGAUACGGCCCAGACGCCUACGGGAGGCAGCAGUGGGGAAUAUUGCACAAUGGGCGGAAGCCUGAUGCAGCGACGCCGCGUGGGGGAUGACGGCCUUCGGGUUGUAAACUCCUUUCGACCGCGAGGAAGCCACCUGGUUGGAAGGGUGGUGACGGUAGUGGUAGAAGAAGCACCGGCUAACUACGUG
rnacentral:rRNA from 1 species